UACAGAGGGUGCGAGCGUUAAUCGGAAUUACUGGGCGUAAAGCGCGCGUAGGCGGCUUUGCAAGUCGGGUGUGAAAUCCCCAGGCUUAACCUGGGAACUGCAUUCGAGACUGCAUUGCUAGAGUAUGGGAGAGGGAAGUGGAAUUUCCGGUGUAGCGGUGAAAUGCGUAGAUAAUCGGAAGGAACGCCGGUGGCGAAAGCGGCGUGCUGGACCUCUUCUGACGCUGGAGGCGCGAAAGCUAGGGGAGCAAACGG
rnacentral:rRNA from 1 species